rnacentral:rRNA from 1 species
UACGAAGGGGGCUAGCGUUGUUCGGAAUUACUGGGCGUAAAGCGCACGUAGGCGGAUUGUUAAGUUAGGGGUGAAAUCCCAGGGCUCAACCCUGGAACUGCCUUUAAUACUGGCAAUCUCGAGUCCGAGAGAGGUGAGUGGAAUUCCGAGUGUAGAGGUGAAAAUUCGUAGAUAUUCGGAGGAACACCAGUGCGAAGGCGGCUCACUGGCUCGGUACUGACGCUGAGGUGCGAA